AUCCGAAUUAGGAAAUCAAACUGCAAAUUCAUAAAAGCUAGAAUGGACCGACAGGUGUGAUCGUUACAGGAACCUGCUGCAGGUACUUGAUACGCCCAGCUGGCCCGGUGGGUGCAGGGUCCUAUCUUCAUGGACAAGUUCCUCCCUGCGUUUAUUUUUUUCCCCGCAUCCCUGCAACUUCAUAAACAAAUGAAUUGGUAAAAACGGGGAAAUCAUCAUAAACGGGCAUCCUGAUGUGCGGACGUAGGGCCACAGAUGGGUGUGAAGACACAUGAGUAUCUGCUUAGCUUCGGUAGAAAUGAAAGACUGAGGAACGGGUGAUUUACUCUGCCACUGUGUAUAGCUUUCAGGUUCUCUGAUGGCCCGGGGGAUAUGCUGUGGAACAGGGCACUCGUGGGCCCUGCCAGUUCGGUUGCUCAGCACAAGGCGAAGCUCUCCGACUCCCUUCCCCUUUAGCAAACUGCUUUGAUUUUUGCCCAGCUGUCCCCAAAGUGUAGUUCCGGGAACAAAAUGCUGAUUCUUCCAUCUUUGCAGAUGUGUUUAAAACCAAUGAAUAUAAACAAUGUAGUUCUAUGGCACACCAUGCAUUCCAUCACAUUUAUGGAAUUGUUUUCAUUCAAGUGCAAGAGGGGUGUGUGUGUGUGUGUGUGUGUGUGUGCGCGCGCGCACACAUGUGUAUGUGUGUCUGAAACCCAAGAUUCUUCAGAAUCGAAACCAAUUUCAUUUUCCUUACCAGGACGAAACGCUCUAGUGUGUGACAGAAAUUGGAUUUCUGAAGGUGGAGAUUGUCCUAAAUGAUAGCAAGUGCUGUCCCAUUCAUCUCCUGUUGAGAUGCUCCCAACACAUUUUUAGAAAGUUACGUCAUCUCAUGAUUGCCAUUAAGUUGACAAAUUGUCUUUUAGAAUCUUAAAAUAGCUACCUCCACUCAGAGGAGAGAAGCCCCCCAGAAUAUAUCCCAUCAGUCAGUGUCACUUUUGUUCAUCCAAAUAAUGUCAUAAAGCAUGCGUGUUUGGAGAACAGUCAGAAUAAACAAAAUAUAGGAGAAAGAAGCCUUUAAAAUAUCCUAUGCUGCUGGGCUAAGUUGUUCGCCAGAAUAUAAAUUUUUGCUUCAUGAUUACCUCAUUAUUCCUCCACUGUUUUGCCAAUGUGCUCACCAUAUUUUGUCACGGUCUUUGCUGUGACUCAUUUGUUCUGCUCCAUAGACUCUAUUGACAACAGACGACCCUAAACGUGUGUCUCAUUCUCAACAAAAUAUCAAUGACAUAUGGUUACAAUUUUUAUGACCCUCCUUUAAAAAAUAUUAUAUACUUUGAUAUUGAUUCAAGACUAUUCACUGAUGAAUCAUCAUUAAUGGGAGUGCUCUAGAAUGGGACAGUAAAAGGACAUGAAACUGUGGGCAGUUUUAAAUUAUGAAUAGCCAUAAAGGGAAGUGCUCUGUCUACCCAGGCAAAUAGUUAUGUGUAUGUUGAGUCGGUAUCUCUGAGCUAGAUCCAUAAGGAAUUAGGUCCAAGAACAACAUAUGGAUUCAGACACGCUUGUAAUCGACACCCGUGUCUUCGGGGCUCCAGUUUGUUGGUUUAGCUUUGUCGUUGGGUCACACAGCUUGACGGAAAGCAUGGGAACCCGCUAGCUUACACUCGGAUGUUGGCUGCUGAUCUUCAACUUAACAAUCAUGCAAUCAGUAGACCAUGCCUUACAGAGUAAUAAGUAAUCAUGAAAAACUUUCAAUCUUCUUGUUCAACCCUCACAUCCCAGCCUGAUACCAAUGCCAGAGCUAAGGGCCGUGUCUGCAAAGGGACUCCCAGCAAUGAGAGGGUAAACCCCCUGCUUCAAAAUGGAAGCUGGGUGUCGGGUAAAUGUGUAGCAGGCCACUGUGUUUGACAGAAAAUCAUAGGCAUUGAACAGCUGGAUCCAGAUGGGAGCCAGGAGGGAGGAGAUGCCAGGACUAUUAAAAACUGGGUUUAAGGACGAAAACCAGGCAAGAGCAUGGGACACUGAAGUGGGUUGGCUUGAGGAUUUGUAUCGUAGCCAGGAGAAAAAAAAAAUUAAACUACCAUCUCUUGAGCUUUGAAGUUGUCAACCCCCAAAUUCACAGUUGUCUUCUUUUUCGUCAACCAUGAGAGUCUGUUUCAGAUCUUGGAAACCCAGAGCCCGGAUUAGUCGGGAGUGCGGCAUUUCUCCCUAUCUGUUCAGGAAACGAUCACAUCGUGUGGUCAAGGGUGAUACCCUUUACUCAUUCAAAGGGCCACACAUAAGGCCGGGAUCCUGAGGGUCUGGGGGGCUGUGCAAGAGGACAACCUGAGGGACAAAAUGUGAGCCCAUUGGUCUCCACUGGGGCCCCGCCCAUAAGGCUGUUUCCUCUCUUGCGUCAUCAUCACCAUCACCACAGUGUUCUGACCAGUUCAGAAAGAAAGGUUUCAAACGAGCAUGGCCCAUUCAAAACUAGAUGGUUGCUAAUUGGUAACAGAGUUUUACAUACAUUUACAGGACAGCGUGGAAAGGCCUGGGGCUCCCCUGGCUUCAGCAGGAGGUAACCAGCUGCAAGCUCUGUCUUAGGGACAGAGUCCUGGUGUAGGUGGGGCGCACUUUGCUCAUUUCACCCAGACCCCAGCUCAGUCCCGCAAGGAGCAGCCCGCUUCCUCCGCCCCGAUCUCCCGGUCACUGUGUCUUCCUGCCUGGUGUUCAGAAGCCGAGAUCCCAAUGGUCCCUAUGAUAUGCAGAAUAGAAUAAAGGAGAGAAACACUGUUAAUAAUCGUGCUUCCUCGUGGGCUGCAUCUUUCUUUGAAAACGACGAACACUGCAUUUGGGAAGAAGUUGUCACACUGGUAUCGUGUUCCUUAAAGCUCACUUCUCUGUCAUGAAAAAUCCAGUCCAGCAGGAGUUGUGGGACAGCUCUAACCUAGGGGGCCAGCACCCCCCCCCUCCCAACCAUGACUGUGAAUUCAUGUUAUUCCAACAGAGUAACUGACACUGAGAGGCAGGGAAUGGGGGCUGGCAAGCAGACGAUGGCCUCUGUUCUCUGUUGGCAGGGAUAAGGAGGAACCGAUGCAAUUAUAAAUAGAAUUAUAGCCCAAACCAGGAUUACUUGGAUAACUCAGUCGACACAAGGUUUUGUUUGAUUCAAUUUUCUAGAUGAUUUCAUCAAUGAUUAACCUAACUUUGUUAGUGGAGAUCUAAAAAGAGAGCCAGCUUAAGCAUAUUCAGCAAGGCCAGCAUUUACUUUUUGCUUUUUUUGAACCUGAGGCAUAUGUCCAGUUAUUGACUUCUUUGGCUAGACAGUGCUAUCCACAUUUUUUUCUUUUUUUGACAAAGCAGGAAAACUUGCUUAGAGACUCUGUUUAGAAACCUGAAAGAAAAUGGACAAGCUGGAGAAGUAUUCAUGCUGAAUAAUGACCUUAGAUGCCUUACACAAAUGGCAUACCAGGUCAAACUGCCGAAUCAGUCCGUCCGUCCGUGUCCGUCUCUCUCUGUCUGUCUCACAACAAUAUCAUUUUACUUCUGUCUCUCUCCAUAUAACAUGUAAUUCUGUGCCUAUUGAAUAGUGGCUUUUGUUCCUGUGGCUCAGCUAUCUUCAAAAAUAAAAUUAGGAUGGUUGUUUGCAUUCUAAAUUGAUAUCUUUGACUUACCGGAAUGCAUAGCCUUUGGAGAUGCCUAUCAAAGGCCCAACACUGGAUUGCCCAACCCAUCCACUCUUGCCAUUUCCUAAAAAUGAAAUUACUGGAUAACAGAUUUGAUUAGGAAAUUCUUUCAGAAGGUUUUCUUGGUUUUAGUCUUAUUUGGGCUUAAGCUUGUAAACUUAGAAACUGCAAGUAAGAGGAUUUCUUAUUUGGGAAAGAAUGUACGUUUAGAUAAUGUCACCUUCUAGAUUUCUGAUAAAAUAUUCGCCUUCUUAUAUCAAUCGAAACAGGAAAACCCUCUUUUUUAAUCAAAAGCUUCUAAACAAAUGCAAAUGAUAAUCAAUUAAUAAGAGUGGAUCUUGUUUUGAGCAUUAAAUCUAAGAAGUUUUCUAUAUGAUGUAAAAGUUCAGAUAAAAGCAGAGAAUCUUAAUAUGUAGACCACUAUCUUAUUUUUCACUUUUACUUGCAUAUUUUAUAUCAAAAAAGUCAUAGUAAGACAUUUAAAAAGCGAAUUAUAUGCUAGAGAUCAACCUUUUAGCCUACUUGCACAAGGUACCCUGACUCUAAUGAUGCAGCCAUGAUAGGCUAGAUGAUAAGCAUAAAUAGUACAUAAUUUUGUGUCUUUAUGUUCGGCAAAGAAGUUUAAGAUGGGAUUAUCAUAAAAUAAUCCUAUCGCAUUUAAGCCGCACUGAAACUCGAAGACGGGGACACUGAAGCCUAAAGAGUUUGAGUGAAGUUUCUGGCCAAAAUGUUCUUGUUCUAGCUGAUUAUUUUUCUUUUCAGUGAGUGACAUUUUAUUGCAUUUAGUUGACAUUUCAAGGCUUCCCCUCCACCUUUCCUAUUCCUACCAAGUGUAAAGAUUUUUUUAAAUCUUUCAGGUAAAAAUAGAAACUAAGCAGAAACAAAAAGCAGUCAGAGGGACUGAAAACAAGGAGUAGUUAGAUGGCAGGGAUAGUGCCUCUGAGCAUCAGAUACCGAAUGAACCUUAUUCAAGGCAGGCAUCUGAGACCAAGUUCAAAGCUGUCAACCAGGGAUUGGAAUGGAGAGUCUCCUUAAAAAGGUCUGGAAAGAGCCACCACCACACUGUCCCAUUCCUGACAGCCAGAUUCCAAAACACAGCCUCUCAGCCCCGGCCGAGCUACCAGAUGGCUCGGGUCUGGGGUCUGUCCAGUUACCUUGUGAUGGAAUCACCAGUCUAGGAUGAAAAAUCGGAUGGCCCUACCUUCUGACUCAAGAUUUGUCGGCGGACUAAAAUUUCAGAACAGAUGAGGAAAACAAAUCCUAAGACAAGUGCCUCUUUAAAUCAACAAUCAGAAGACGAAUGUGGUUCUGGUAACAUGUAAAUAAUAAUGGCGAUCCUAAAAAGCCUUCUUUAAAAGUACACUAAAACACAGCCAUCUUUGAAGAGUGGUUAUUGAAUAAAAUUUCAAUCACACAAACUGCCAAGGUGCAGUAUUAUGAAAAUAAUGAAAUCUAUUUUGGCCAUCUUCCAGAUUCUAUUCCAAAAAUGUUUUAUUUUGGUAUUUUUAUCAUUGAAUAGAUUCGUAAGUUUCUUUAAAAAAAGAAAAAAAGCAGAUCCUGUUCGCAAAUUUUGUGACAUACUGUAAAUUAAGAGAAUCUCAAAUAAUUAGAAAAUGCUCCACCCAGACUCCCCCUCCCCGGGAGCUAGUGAUUUUUACUCAUCCUUCAAAUGAGAACAGGUCAAUGGUAGAGAUCAAUCACCAGUUACAUUAAAACCACAUUACAGUAUUUUGCAUCCCCUCAUAAUGGAGUUUGCAUUAGAACCUUUGGCAAGUAAAGGAAGCAGGGGCUUCUAAUAAAACAAAGCAAAUUAACCAGUUGGAAAAUCAUAGAAAUGAAAAUAAUGUCCCCUGGACUUAAUCAGACUGGAUCCAUUUCAAGAGAGAACUAAUGUAUUAAAAAGAUGGCACUGAAUUCACACAAAACAAAAUUCAGAGAAAUUGAGAGAUUAAACAUAUGAAAGGGGGAAAAAUGAUGACUUUAGAUACAGUAAAAUGAGGAGGAGAAAUAAAAUAGUGAACUUCUAAACCAGCAGAGGAGAAAAAAAAUUAAAACAUAUCAUUUUGGGUGCCUGGGGGGCUCAGUCGGUUAAGCGUCUGACUUCCUUUCAGCUCAUGAUCUCACGGUUUGUGGGUUCGAGCCCCAGGUCGGGCUCUAUGCUGACAGCUCAGAGCCGGAAGCCUGCUUCGGAUUCUGUGUCUCCUUCUCUCUCUGCCCCUCCCCUGCUUGCACUCUGUUUCUCUCUCUCUCAAAAAUAAAUAAAAAAUUUUAAAAAAUAUAUCAUUUCAACCGAGCAUGUAAUGAAAAAAAAAGAUGAAAAGCAUGAUUAGUAGAUAUCUUAAAAUAAAAUUACAGAUAUUAAUCUAAAUAUGUCAGUAAUCAAUUACAAUAAAUAUAAGCUGAUUAAUCUCACACACUACAAAACAGAAUAUAAUUUUAGUAAUUUACCAGUAAUAUAAUGUACUAUAAUUAAUGUCCUAUAAUAUUAUAACAGAGUUUUAUUUUUUAUAAGGAGAUUUUCUCCCGCUUACUUAGAAUUUUUCAGCAACUAAGAUUUUUCUCAAUACAGAUAGAUCCAAAAUAUCAUCUCAAAAAUUUUCAUUGUCUCCAGAAGAUAUAUAAGAAAAUCAUUCGGGCUCCCAUAAUAUCUAGUUAGCCUGGGAAGUAGGUGAUAUUAUUUUAAAAAUUCCCAGAGGCAAAAUGUGGGUUUAAAAUUUACAUUUUGAUGUAAGAAUUUUUUUUUAUCCUGCCAUAGGCAUUUGUAUCCAGUGAGUUUUUAAGUUGUAUUUUUAAAAAUAACUUUUAUAUGCUGACUUUUGGGAAUUUUUAAAUGAUAUCACCUACUUCUUAGAGUUAUGAAAUAUCAUAGUAACCCCAAAAUGCCUUCCUCAUCUAUCUUUUGGAGACACGGAGACAUUUUUGAAAUGAUAUUUUGGAUGUCCCUGUGUUGAGAACAGCUUAGCUGCUGAAAAUUCUAAUUAAGUGAAAGUAAAUUUCCCUACAAAAAAUAGCAAAGGAUUUUAUCAAAAACUGCUGUAAUAUGGUAAGAUGGAGAGAUGAUGCCCUCAUAUAACUUAAUGCUGAAGUUUGAUAGAAUAAAAGUCAUAUUUAAGGAGGAAAGAGUCCCAAGUACAUCUAAAAUUGUGAAAUGAUGAUUUCUUGACAGAUGUCAUUAAAAUCCCGUCAUUAUUACUGUGGAAUCUUCUCUCGAAAAGAAAAAUUUUUUUUCCACAAGGAACCAUGAGGUUGUGAAAGAGAAAGGGAGCAUUCGUAUCCAGUGGGAAAUCAAACUGCUGUUUACUUUCUGUGCAUUUUGGUGAAACUCGGGCAGGGGUCCCUGCUGGGCCUAGUUAGUGAUCUCCUACUGGGGCUGAGCUGAGCCAGUCUUCUGCAGGGGUCACUGUGGUUCUCUUACUGGGCAUCUCUCUCAUCACUGAGAGCAUGUCACACCCUGGGCUUGCACAUGGGCGGAUGACUGGACUUGAGCCAGCAGGGAUUGGUUUGAUAAAGAAAGAGAUUUGCACAAUGUCCUGGUAAGAGGAAUCAGACAGGGAUCUUUCCUAAAGAUCUUUAAAUUAUGGCUGCUGUGUAAGUGGCGGUUUGCUAAAGGACACAAAAAAGAGAAGGAAGAAAAAUACGUAAAGGUCUUAAAUGUUUGGAAAGCUCAGUAUUUCUUGAGCGACUCUACUUUUCCUCAUCUAUUAUUGUUUCCUCCUCUCUUCCCGCUCCCUCUCCCUCUUUCUCCCUCCCUCCUCCCCACCUCUCUCUCUCUCUCUCUCUCUCUCUCUCUCUCUCUCUCUCUCACACACACACACACACACACACACACACACACACACAAAGCCUUGCAGCCCGCACUGAAUUUUCUAUCUCAAUUCUGUGACAUCAUCGGUGAUUCUGGGGAGUCAGUAAUUGAACCGAAGAGCACCCCAAGAAGCUAUAAAUUCCUCUUUCAAACACUGGCAUUAAACACAUGUAGGAUGCCAUCAUUGAUGCCUCUUCCUAAGUAAUGUCAAGCACAGAUAGAUUAGGUUGCCCCAAACUGAUCAUAGUGAAGCAUUGAAGGGUUUAUCAUCUAAGCAAUUUGAGGCUCUAGCUUGAUUGAUGCACAUGUCCCAACUCUCCACUUUUGCUGCAGUGAUCUGACCUACAUAAUUUUAUUCAUAUCAGAAUCACGAACUUUCUCUUCAUGAUCAGGCCAGAUAGGAGAAACACAGAUUGAUGAAUGGGAUUUACCCGUAUUCCUCCUGGAGCGGUUUCUGAGAGUUAAUACUUUAAAAUACACUAAGCCUUACCACACUUUUUAGACCAGCACAUUUAACUCUUCAAGCAACAACAAAUGUACUUUUGAGUGAUCAGAGGCCUUUAUAUUUAGGGGGUUUUGAUAAUGCAUGUUAUCCAGCACGUAAAUGAUUAUUUUCUUAUUUGUCUUUAGGGUACUGAAAAUUCCGUGUAUUUUCAAUAAAAAAGACUGCGAACUGAUUUUAAUAAAUAAAUUAUCUGUGUACUUUCUUCGAUAUGAAUGAACUCAGAGUAUUAAUCAAGACUGAAUUAUUAUUUAACUCUGUUGUAGCUAACCAGGAAAAUAAGUUUCCAAAUAUUUUGAUAUGCAAUUAAGGCUCAAGAACAGUAGUGUCUGGGGUCACCUAGGUGGCUCAAUCGUUUAUGUGUCCGACUUCGGCUGCAGUCAUGAUCUCUCGGUUCAUGAGUUCGAGCCCCGCAUUGGACUCUGUGCUGACAGCUCAGAGCCUGGAGCCUGCUUGGGAUUCUGUGUCUCCCUCUCUCUUGGCCCCUCCCCUGCUCACACUCUGUCUCUGUCUCCGUCUCUGUCUCUCUCUCAAAAAUAAAUAAACAUUAAAAAAUUAAAAAAAAAAAAAAAGAACAGUAGUGUCUGUGUGACCUGAGAGAACCUUCCAUUUUUCUCCCCUUGUAGAAAUGGGCACAAUAAUCACACUUGCCUUAUACGAUUUUCUUAAAGAUUAAUUUUUUAAUCAAGUAUUUUUAACAUUGUCUCUUUUCUCCAGUGUUCGCAAUUUAUAAUUAUUAUUUUAUUUCUGUUAUUCGAUACAAGCAUGGAGCGAGAUAAAGGCUUUGGGAAUGGGAGGUACCUUGUCAGGUACAAGGAGCGAUAUGUCCUGGUUUUAUUGUUAAUAUCUCUCCUUUUGAGAUCUAAUGGGAAAGACAACUUCUCUUGGUGCUAUAAUUUUUUGAAAACUGAGUAUGAAACUGAGAAAACAGAUGUUAUUACACAAGCAGAUUAAAGGAUUUGGGAAUUGUCUUCCUUUUUUUUUUUUUUUAUUUUGAAAAUAAAGUGGAAGCAGAUGGAAUUUAGCGUGAAAUUAGUACUGAAAUAAAACGAACUUGGAAGUAUAUUUUGGAGGUUUUAUAUAAUUGUCAUUCAUGCCUCCAGAGCUUUUCCAAAGCUCCUCAUUUAGCCAAGAGAUCAUUAAGGAUACUUUGAGUCUUUGGGUUGUGUGAAAGGAACAUGCCUGAUGACUGUCCAUUACUGUCUGGUCCAGAGCAGAGUCAGGAAACCCGGAUGGGGAGCCUUCGACCUUUCGUAGAACCUGUGCAGGUUGGGGGGGCGGGGGCUCACAUUACUCUUGGUGAAUUCACAGGUGACGUCUUCACUCCGCGACCGAGGAUUUCAGAUUCUGAAUGAGCGGGGCCUCAUUUGGGGAAAUCUGGGGCCAUGUUAUGUGUUGAAUUGUUACUGAUAGUAACAGUACCAGGUAAAGCCAUUUUCAGGUUCUCCUCCCUGCUUAAUGGAUUUGCCAAGCAGUCAAGUCGUCUUCCCCACGAACCGCCCAUGACCUUGAGCUUGUUCCAGGGAGCCACUCUCCGUGGGCCUUGUCUCGAAAGCAGCUUGGGCCAUGUUGACACUGGCUCGUUUGGCUCACACUGGAGCUGAGAGCAGCUAGACUUUCCUCUGAAAGUCUGACAUUUUGGGUGCCUUUUCAUAAUGCCUGCGCCAAUUUGCAUAUUGACACAGCCUCCCUGUCAGGAGCCAGGUGCCCUGCGAGCCCCGAAGUGUUUCUCUCACUCAGCUCUCCCCAGCUCUGGACCUGGCUUGGCUGAGUGUCCUUUGCUAAAGGACAGAGGGCCUUCUGUCUUCUUUUAUUCUUUAAAGAUCAGGCUCAAGUGAAUGCAUUUCAUUUUAAAAACCACACCCUCACAAUUUUAUUACAUGGGAAAGCCAUACGUACACCGAAGUCCUAACUGCAGACCUGUCUUUCCUCUCCUCUUGGCUGGUGACAUUGGUCUCAGGAGUUGACACCCUGUGAGAGCUAAGUUAGAUUAAUUUUCUUCAAGCUGUCUCGAUUUAUCCCACCUCCUUCCUCGCUGACUAGUGAAAGGGAAUCACUUCGAGAAGCUGGAAGUUUCCGGUGCACCUUACCGUUAGCAGGUUUGUCUGUGCGGCAGAUAUGAUGCUUUUAUUUAAAUUUCUUACCAGAAGCAACCAAGGAAUGUGUUACCUGUGACUUCUCUACUUUCCAUAGAAACCACAAGUCCUUUCUGGAAACUUCUGCAACAUCAUCUCUCUUUGUUUUUUUACAGUAGUCUUUAUUGGCAUCAAACCUUUGAACCCCAUCAUUUGACAGGAGUCGUUUGCUGUGCAAGAGUCUGGACUGUACCCAUGUGCUAUUACUGAUAUCCUAUCAAUAUUUUUCAUCACGACUUAACUUUAUCAGAGAAAGCAUGCCCUCCUGUUAGGCGGAGUGAGUCACGGUCAGGCUUGCUUCUAAAACCUGAAACAUUUCAGUAUGUUUUCCUUCAAAGUAUUUGACUCAUCAACCGAGAAGAUAUAGGCCUCCUUACUCAAGGUUUGGUUUGAUUUAGACCAGUGAGGAGGAUGGGUCCUUAUGCCGUUGCUGUGCUAUUUAGUUUAUUUAAAUAAAGCUUAAACUUAAAGCUUACAUUUAUUUGAAUAAAGCUUUAUUCAACACAAGCUGGAUGCUUCGUUGGAAGAAAAGUCUCACAGGAUUUAGUGCUGUGAACUUAACUGUUUCUAAGCCUGGAUUCAUUGACUUGUCUGCUAUGAAACCCUUCUGUUUUCUUUUCUCUAUCCAUUUUUCAAGAUUGAAUCAAUAUUCCCAACUCCAUUUGGUUCUUUGAAAAUGUGGGCUCCUAAAACCGGAUGAACUGACUUCAACCAAAAGAUGAAAUGCUUAACCGAUGUUGGAACAAAGAAGUGCCUAAAACCCCUUUCUGGGCCCCACCAAGGCUUUCUAUAGCAGAGGUUCCCAAGUGUGUGCCCCCCUAACCCUUCCCACAGUAGCAAGGGCAUCACAUGGCCUGGGGACUUGUUGGAAGAGCAAAUUAGCAGGCCCCACCCCUUCACCCAGCAGUGUGUUUUUCUGUAAGCCCCCCCAGGCAGUCCUGGUGACCAGUAAGGUUGAGAGCCUUAGAGUUGAUUAUACCCUCCCUGUAUUCCCCUUCUGAGACUUUCUUUUGCUUUCUUGGUCUUUCUUCCCCUCCUCAAAUCCCACUCUUCCAAAGAAACCGCUGUCAGGCAUGCGGAGUAGUGAUUCGUACCUGUGUCUGAGGUAUUGGCUGUGUGUGCCUUUACUUCCGGUCGGACCCUAUCACUUCCCGUCCCCUGUCCUGGUAAAUGGAUUGCAUCAACCUCCCUGGUUCUUCAAAAUCCCCUCAAUCCAGGACUGUCGGGGAUGCCUUCCCACACUGACUCUGAGCCUGGUGUUCUGACUCGCCGUGGCCAAUGAGACAAGAAUAAACUUCACCCACAUACAGAGGUGGAACAGCCUCCCGAGUGCCCUUGCUUACUCUUUUGUUCCUCCGCUUUUAUUUGGAGAAGACACCUGGGCCAGCUUCUGGAGGAUGAUGUUUACUGGGAAAGAGGGGCGUCUGCCAAGGCCCCAGAGAUUCACACAGCUUCCUGGCUGAACUGUGGCGGAUUGCAGACACGAGAGUGAAUCCCCGGCUAAGCUCCUUAGCGGUAAAAAAUGGUCGCAUUUCCGGUAAGGCCCUGAGUUUUGGGGUGGUUUGUCACUCAGCAACGACUAACUGCUACACCUGUUAAAGGAGCCUUAGUGUCUCAGCUAAGAGGAAGAGGGCAAUACAGAGGCCCCUCUCAGUGUCUUGGAACCCAUAUCCGUCCAUUUGAGAGGCUUGACCACAUCGUUCAGUGUGGGUAGAACCCAAGCAUACAGUUGAGUCAAAAUGAAAAUUCGUGGGUGGGUCUUUUAAGUGGCCAGUUUGAAUUUGUGGCUGUUGCAGAGUUUUUCUUGUUAAACUCUGAAUAUAGUUUGCCAGACUUUUCUUAAACCUCAGGAGUUGCCUUUGUCCCUGUGUCCUUCACACCCUCCAUCUGUAUUUCUUCUCUGCAGAUGUUCUGCUAACAUUGCCACAAACCACCCAGGGUGAAAUGAGAUUUGCAGGGAGACACUGGGAUGGAUUAAACAGAUCUUUUAUAGGAAGGACGAUUGCAAAAGUAAUCUCUUAUUUGGUUGAAGUAAAUAAAUGGAUACAGUGAAUAUUUUAGACUCUUGCUUUUGAAAUCUCAAAGAGGGGAAUUCCCUAAUACUAACUUGGACGUUCAGGCGAGGGGCUCCUAGGUGGCGCAGUUAGGCAUCCGACUCUUGAUUUUGGCUCAGGUCAUGAUCUUGCAGUUCAUGAGUUCGAGCCCUACUUAGGGCUCCGUGCUGACAGUGCAGAGCCUGCUUGGGAUUCUGUCUUUCUCUUUCUCUCUCUGCCCUGCCUACACUCUCUCUCUCUCUCAAAAUAAAUAAAUAAAUAAACUUUUUUUAAAAAGUUUAACUGAGACUACUUUAUUCUUCAGACAGCUUCCCUACAUAGGUUUCUCUCUUAUAGAGCUUCAUAUCAUCUAUUUUUAAUAUUUUGAUUCAGCGAUUGAUGUUUUAGUUUUGGUAGAACAUUACACCUUAGCUAAAAAUCUAAUUCUUAGUUUAGUUGAAAGCUUUCAACCGGUGACAUGAAAUUUUAACGGGACUAUUUAAACUCAGUCAUCCAUGACCCCUUACUGAGUAGACUUGACUUUUCAAGCAGUCCUCCCUAGAGGGCACCAUAUCCUCACUUCCCAACUGGGUCCUUCUAACGUUGGCUGCUGGCCCCAAUAACAUCAUGUGAGGCUGAAGUCACUUAGAUUACCACAUUGGAAUCUUUUCGUAAAUCUAUCUGCAGUGGAGCCUUUAUUUCAGCAUGAUAAAUGCAUAUCUUCUGGCACGUAUUUUGUUUAAGCAUUACAAGUGAGACCUUGUUUAGGAACAGAGGCAAUGGUGUUUAUUUGGCAUGGUUGGUUGUUCAGUCAGUUCAGUCCAUCUCUGUGUCCACAUACAGUGGCCUGAGGAACAUUAUGGACCUCUGAUGGGGUAUCAGAUAGAAUACUAAGGACAGAUUCGGUGGACCUGUGCUUUCAUAUUGUGUAUGUCACUACAGAAGGUACUUACCCCAUUACAUUUCAGUUUCCUUAUUUGUAAGAUUGGAGAGCUAGGCUUUUUUUUUUUUUUUUUCAUGAUCCCAUUAGCUCUGUAAUGUGAUCUUUGGUACAUAAUAAUAGUUCUGUACCGUUUGAUAGAGGAAGCGAUACUAAUGCUCCUAACUGCUAAUUCUAAGGAAAUUUAGGUAUGACCCACUGAAAUUUAGGUCAGCCUGAAGAAAAUAUAUUAAAGAAGAAUUACAGCUGAUUAUUGAAAAGCAUAAAUGCUAGUAAAUA